rnacentral:rRNA from 1 species
CCUACGGGUGGCAGCAGUGAGGAAUAUUGGUCAAUGGACGAGAGUCUGAACCAGCCAAGUAGCGUGAAGGAUGACUGCCCUAUGGGUUGUAAACUUCUUUUAUAUGGGAAUAAAACGUUCCACGUGUGGGAUUUUGUAUGUACCAUAUGAAUAAGGAUCGGCUAACUCCAGGCCAGCAGCCGCGGUAAUACGGAGGAUCCGAGCGUUAUCCGGAUUUAUUGGGUUUAAAGGGAGCGUAGGUGGAUUGUUAAGUCAGUUGUGAAAGUUUGCGGCUCAACCGUAAAAUUGCAGUUGAAACUGGCAGUCUUGAGUACAGUAGAGGUGGGCGGAAUUCGUGGUGUAGCGGUGAAAUGCUUAGAUAUCACGAAGAACUCCGAUUGCGAAGGCAGUUCACUGGACUGCAACUGACACUGAGGCUCGAAAGUGUGGGUAUCAAACAGGAUUAGAUACCCCGUAGUC